UAUAUAUAUAUAUAGUAGGGCUGCUGUGCUCUCAGGAGUACGGAGGCCUCCGUGCUCCUGAGCCGUUUGUGAUGAUGGAGUUUCCGAAUCGAUGAUCGGCUCCGUUAAACUUGAUCUAGCGUAUUUGAAGUUUCUAGAAAAUAAUUUUUGCGAUUUUUCGAUAUCAUUUACCUAGCAAUCGAAAUAAUUCAAAAUCAAUAAUUUUUAACGGCUGAAAAUAAAAAUUUUAUAAAAAGUAAUGAUAUAGCACUAAAAUUUUCGAUCACAAAUUGAUCUUAUUGUAAAUAGUAUAAAGAAUUUUGUAUUAAACUUUCAUCUGAUUUGAAUACUUCUAUACCGUUAAACUUGAAAACGGUAGAUAUCAACCAUUAAAAAUUAUGAAUUUUGAAUCCUUUCGAUCACUAGGUAAAUGAUAUCAAAAAAUUGCAAAAAUUAUUUUCUAAAAACUUCAAAUGCGCUAGAUCAAGUCUAACGGAGCCGAUCGUCGAUUCGAAAAUUCUAUCAUCGAAAACGGCUCAGGAGCACAAAGGCCUCCGUGCUCCUGAGAGCACAACAGCCCUGCUCUCUCUCUCUAUAUAUAUAUAUAGGGAGAGAGAGAGAGAGAGAGAGAGAGAGAGAGAGAGAGAGAGAGAGUCCGGCUACUAUACUAUUAAUAGCACGAAGCACUUGGUGCUACCAAGUUUUCUGCCGUUAGAUCUGCCAUUUUGAUCAUUUUCACUCGUUAGAUCAUACUAUUUAACCAACCACCCACUCAACCUUAGAGUGCUCACAUCAUCCUAACAGCAUAUUUAUUAAUCCAAUGGUCAAAAACUUACAAGCACCAACGACUUAGUACUUUUAAAAAUAUUGGAGCUCAAUUAUAUAUAUAGACAGAGAGUAUGAAAAAUAUAGAUCGUGCAAUAAAAAUAGAAAAAUGAUUCAAUCGUUGAUACGUCCCGUUGCGUGAAGAUGAAUAGAUCUUGAUUAUCUAUAUUUAUUUGUGAUGAAAGAGGAGAGAGGAACGAAAAAUGAAAAAUAUGAGUGAGAAUUAAAGUUAAAGUGUGGGAAGAAAAUACUUAAUUUAUGAAUUUUAUACUUUUAAUACUUAUUUGAAAAGUAAAGAUAUUUUGAAAUUAAAUAGAAAAAUAUUUUUAUCACACCCAUUAUUUGUUAAAGAAAACUUCCGUAUUCAUUCCUAACGGUUGCUAUUCUUAUUCUUAUACUUAUAUUUGAAAUUUUACGUUUAUAGAUUUUACACUUCCGCGCAUAUUUUAAUACUUAUUUGAAACGAAAAGAUAUUUUGAAAUUAAAUAGAAAAAUAUUUUUUUCACACUCGUUAUCUAUUAUAGAAAACUUACAAAACUUACGUAUUUAUUCUCAACAAUUCCUAUUCUUAUUCUUAUCCUUAUAUUUGGAAUUUCUGUUAUAGAAAACUUACGUAUUUAUUCCCAACGGUUUUUAUUCUUAUUCUUAUCCUUAUAUUUAGAAUUUCAAACUUACGUUUUCAUUUCCAACGGUUUCUAUUCUGAUUCUUAUCUUUAUAUUUGAAAUUUUACGUAAGGAACGAGGAAUCAAAUUUUUUUUCCUCCAAAAACUGAGUCUGUCGACAAACGGAAAUUUGAAAUACGUGCUUAUAUAUAUAUAUAUAUAUAUAUAUAGAGAGAGAGAGAGAGAGAGAGAGAGAGAGAGAGUUGAGCUAGAAUACUCUCAAAAGCACCAAGGGGUGGUGCUUUUGAGUUUUUAACCAUUGGAUGAAGAGAUGUAGAGUUGAGAUGAGGUGGUAGGUGGAAUAGUGUUUGAUCCAAGUGGUAUUAGUAAUUAAGGAGUAGAUCCAAUGGCUAGAAACUUAGAAGUACCAAGGAGUUGGUGCUUCUAAAAGUAUUCUAGCUCAAUUAUAUAUAUAUAGUGCUAGUCUUCUAUACUAUCUAUAGUAGUGGGGCUCCGGUACUAUAGUCCCGUUUUCGAUCUUAGGGUGUUCAAAUUAACGAUCCACACCGUUAAAACUGAUCUAGAAUAUUUAAAGUUUUUAGAAAUAAAAUUUUAUAUUUUUUCGACAUAAUUUACUCUAUGAUCAAACCAUUUCAAAUUUGUCAAUUUUCAAUGGCUACUAUGGCGAGUUUGGAGUUUAAGGGUGUAGAAGAAUCUAAUUUCUUCAAAUUUUGAUAGAAAAUACUUUAAACUAUCUAGAUUAAGGUUAACAUUCUUGAUCUUGAAUUUAAAAGCCCUAUACUCAAAUUUUAAAAAUUAUUCAAUUUUUACCGUCCAUUUUGACAUAAUUUAUUUACUAAGCAAACGAUGUCGAAAAAAACUAAAAUUUUAUUCUUAAGAACUUCAUAUACCCUAAAUCAUAUUUAACGGUGNGAAAAAAAAUAUAUAUAUAUAUAUAUAUAUAUAUAUAUAUAUAUAUAUAUAUAUAUAUAUAUAUAUAUAUAUAUAUAUAUAGAAUUAGGUUACUAUACUAUCUAUAGUACCACUAUAGAUACGCGUGUUAGAUUUUAUUUUUAAUUAUUUUCCAUAAAACGCUCUAUGCUUCAACUUUUUCACCGUUAGAUUUUAUUUUUAAUUAUUUUCAGCUCUUAAAUUAUACUAUUCUAUAAACCACUAGCUCAAUUCUAAAAAAUUACUAUCAUUUUAACCACACAUUCUUUCAUCUAAAAACCGAAAAUCUAAUAGCGCACAGUACUAAUGAUUUGAUAUUAUUAAUACUAUUUUAGUCUAAACAACUUUCAUCUAAAUAUCGAAAAUCUAAUAGCAUAUCAAUAACUUUGUGUUAUUAAUAAUAUUUUAGUCUAAAUAAAAAUAUAUGGUAAAAAUUGUAUGGACAUUGUCCCCAAACUAACUAGCUUCGGGACGAUGCGGAUGGGUGCCGU
rnacentral:lncRNA from 1 species